rnacentral:rRNA from 1 species
AUUGAACGCUGGCGGCAUGCCUUACACAUGCAAGUCGAACGGCAGCGCGGACUUCGGUCUGGCGGCGAGUGGCGAACGGGUGAGUAAUACAUCGGAACGUACCCUGUUGUGGGGGAUAACUAGUCGAAAGAUUAGCUAAUACCGCACACGACCUGAGGGUGAAAGUGGGGGACCGCAAGGCCUCACGCAGCAGGAGCGGCCGAUGUCUGAUUAGCUAGUUGGUGGGGUAAAGGCCCACCAAGGCGACGAUCAGUAGCUAGUCUGAGAGGACGAUCAGCCACACUGGGACUGAGACACGGCCCAGACUCCUACGGGAGGCAGCAGUGGGGAAUUUUGGACAAUGGGGGCAACCCUGAUCCAGCAAUGCCGCGUGUGUGAAGAAGGCCUUCGGGUUGUAAAGCACUUUUGUCCGGAAAGAAAUCGCGCUGGUUAAUACCUGGCGUGGAUGACGGUACCGGAAGAAUAAGCACCGGCUAACUACGUG